CAGAGGUGUAUGAUAUUACCCCUGAGUGCUUAUCACAGACACUAAAAUUCAGGCAGUUAAACUCAAGAGAAAACAACUGGGUAGUGAAAACAGAAAAAUGACUGACAUUUGCGGAUUUCUGUUGUUGAUCCUGCACUGAUUAGGACCAAGCAGGAGUCUCCAGCUGCCACGCAGAAGGAAAGAGGCAGAUCUUUGAAGGAUGGUUUCUAACAACUUGUGAAGUUACCUGGGGUUAGACGGGAGUUCUGGCCAAAAUUGCAAAUCCUUCAAAUCUCCCAGAAGAGCAGAAGAAAAACAACUCAACAAUAUUUAAGAAAGUUAACUGGUGAGGUUAACUCAGAACCCCCAGGUGAAUUAGGUCAUCUCUGUCCCCUCCCCUGAAGACCUCGUGAACUCUGAGGGUAUGAAAUGGAAUUGAGAGUUGGGGACUGCAUUCUCCAGAGAUCGAUGAUGAAGGAGUUGAGAAAACAAGCUUCAUCCCCUAACCCCAAAAAACAAUUUACCUCACUAGUACAAAGCCAUUUGGUAGAAUCUGUGUUAUAGAAUCAGGUAACUUGAAGAAAUGAUGUGAAGUCAUCCAGUUUAUCCCCUACUUUCAAAUAACUAACAAGGUUGCACUGAAUUACUUCCUUGCCUUCAGACAUGUACUAGGAUGAACUCUAUGGCGUUCUUCAGGACUUGCAUUAUUUCAAAAAGUCCUUUGGUAAUCCUUUCCAAUGUCUGACCAACACCAACCACCCAAUUAAUAUCUAACCUAAACCCUUCCUGUUACUUAUUUAAGUCAUUUAUUUUCUUUGAUACCUUGGGAGACAUGGGACAGCAGCAGGUCUCCUUUUCAGGAAUCUUUCUCAAUGCGUGAACUGCCCUUAUUAUAAUGCAGAGUGAGUGAAACAUUCGAGGGAGAAUCUCAAAAACAUGAAUUGUUUAAUUCUCAAAUAAUAAAGGAAAUCUGGUAAAGUUAUGGUUUUGACUUUUCCACCU
rnacentral:lncRNA from 10 species